UUUGUGAAUGUUGAGAUGUUAUAUUGGUUUCACUGGUAAUAAUAAAUAAUUGAAAUGGGUAUAUAUUUGUUUUUUGUUAAGUUGCCUAAUAAUUAUGCACAGUAAUAGUCACCUGCACACACAGAUAUCCCCCUAACAUAGCUAAAACUAAAAACAAACUAAAAACUACUUCCAAAAAUAUUCAGCUUUGAUAUUAAUGAGUUUUUUGGGUUCAUUGAGAACAUGGUUGUUGUUCAAUAAUAAAAUUAAUCCUCUAAAAUACAACUUGCCUAAUAAUUCUGCACUCCCUGUAUAUUCCGCAGAGUAGCUGUUGACAUUAUAGUUGCGCAGGCAUUUUGUUGACUCUAGAGAACCUCGGGCCAAUCACACAUCCCCGUGACGCCGACUUUGCAUUCUGAUGUCACCCAUAUCAACUUUCUAUGCCAGUUUCUGCGCCUACCAUGGUGACCACGGGUAAUGGGGAAUCAGGGUUCCAUUCCGUACAGGGACCCUGAGAAACGGCUACCACAUGCAAGGAAGGCAGCAGGCGCGCAAAUGACCCACUCCCAACGCGGGAAAGUAGUGACGACAAAUAACAAUACAGGACUCUUUAGAGGCCCUGUAAUUGUAAUGAGUCCGCUUGAAAUCCUUUAACUCUGAUCAACUGGAGGGAAGUCUGGUGCAGAGCCACUGACCCGUGCGUGCUGUAGCUGAAACUCCACUAUCGCCUGCUGCUGC